GACAGAGGGUGCAAACGUUGUUCGGAAUUACUGGGCGUAAAGCGCGUGUAGGCGGUCUCGCAAGUCGGGUGUGAAAGCCCAGGGCUCAACCCUGGAAGUGCAUUCGAUACUGCAAGGCUAGAGUCCCGGAGAGGAUGGUGGAACUCUCGGGUGUAGAGGUCGAAAUUCGUAGAUAUUAGGAAGAACACCGGUGGCGAAGGCGGCCCACUGGAUCGGUACUGACGCUGAGGUGCGAAAGCGUGGGGAGCAAACAGG
rnacentral:rRNA from 1 species